ensembl:snRNA U6 U6 spliceosomal RNA
AUACUCACCUUGGCAGCACAUACACUAGAACUAGAACAAUACAGAGAAGAUUAGCAUGGCCCCUGCACAAGGAUGACAUGCAAAUCUGUGAAGCAUUCCAUAUUUUU